AAGUCGUAACAAGGUCUCCGUAGGUGAACCUGCGGAGGGAUCAUUAACACAGAGGGAGCAGCACCAGUGAGGGUACUCUUUUGACGGAGCACCAACGCUGGUACUGACACUUCUCUUCUCAACACCCAUUUCACGUGAACUACUAUGACCCAUUUUGCCUGCCUUCGCAGCGCUUGCUGUGCUGGCUUUUUCAUUUUUGAAAUGAAACCCUUUCCAAUGUUAUUUCAACACUUGUAACUGUGCUGGAGCUCUGUGUGUGUGUGUGUCGUGUCUAGUGCAAACUAGCGCGCCUCGCAUGGCAUGGUCUCUGAAACUAUUACGAACUACAAUAGAGUACAACUCUUAGCAACGGAUAUCUUGGUUCUC
rnacentral:misc_RNA from 1 species